rnacentral:lncRNA from 10 species
ACAGUCUAGCAGUGGCACUAAGAUGUCGUGUGAAUGACCCCAAGGAAUGGGGUAGAGUGGAAAGCACUAGGAAGAAGCUGCAAAUGAAGUGCAGAGGAAGGACUUGCUGCCUCUGGUCCGUGGGUUCAAGGGAGGACUCAUAUAGGGAUUUGAGUUGGUAUUUGAGGGAAGGACAAGGUUCCCAGAUAGGCAGAAGGAACCAUGCCAAAAAGAGCACAGAAGCGGGAAAGUACAGUAUGAGCCCAGAACCCAGGGGUGUUCUAAAUUUGGACCCAGGGGUUGGAUAAGGAUGUCUGUUGGUUACAAGCUACAGAAAGCCUCAACUCACUUCAGACAGGAAGAAAUCCUGAAGUUGAGUGUUUUGAGGUUGGCCAAUAUGGUGCUCAAUGCUCUUGCCAGGCACUCAGUUUCUUUCUUUCUUUCUUUUUUUUUUUUUUUUUGAGACAUGAUCUUGCCCUGUUGCCCAGGCUGGGAUGCCAUGGCGUGAUCUCGGCUCACUGCAACCUUCGCCUCCC